GGAACAGAUAAUGAAGCUACAGCUGAAAGCCUGCCCCAGUGAUUUUCUUCAGAUUCCCUGAAAGGUGGCAGGCGUAGGGGAUUCAUGCUGGGAAAGGCCAUCAGGGGCUGGACAGGACCGGGUGCUCCCCGUCACUUCUAUAUCAAAGGGUGUCUGGGUGCUACUUCUGAAUGAACGUCCAGUAGUCCUGCCUUAUCCUCAGUGUCACUUCCCGAGGUUUCAGUGACGGGUGUUCCGCUGAGUCCAGAGCAGGCAACCGGUCAGAAGGUCAGCAGUAGCCUAACCCUAGGCCUACCUCUCGCCCCUCACUUCCUCUCGUCACUAGGCAUUUUAUCAUCUCACAUCCUCACAAGGAAAAGGCACCUCACACAGCAGCCAACGAGACAGCUGGCAGCUCGGGCUCCACCACGGGGGUGCUGGCUGGAAGCAAACGAGCAGGGAGGAAGGGCGUCCUGGGAAAGGGCUGGACUCCAGAGCAGCACAGACAGCCUCUGUCAGCAGUUCCAGAGCCCAGAGGCCCAGAAGGAACCCCUGGGCUCACUCGGGUCCUCAUCCACUUGUAGUCACCCUGGAGUUUCUGGAGGACGAGAGUGGGACCGGAUACGGUUUAUUCCCUGCAUUCAGGAGAGGUUGGACCGACCAGGAAGCACACACAUACUCAGGACUCUACCACCUUCCCGAAUCUAGAAAUCUAAUGAAGAAGCAUUAAUCGCAUGCCCACCACAUUCCAUGUACUGCACGCUGAACGUACACAGCUAAACGCCACGAGGCUGGAGUGGGGAGGUUACUUCAUGAGCUAGAUGUGGGAAAUGGCAGAUGCAGGAGAUCCAGACAAGGAUGGAGAGCCCCAUGGAAACAUGAGAGUCCCUGAAGCCAGGAACCAGCUUAGAUGCCACCUCUUCCCAGAGCACGCCGAUCCGAAGUGACCUGGCCUUCCCUCGACCUCGGGCAGCUCUACGCUCUUCCCCCGACACGGCUCCAAUCCCCUGCAUCCCUGAUGCGGGGGGGCUCAUUGCCCCACUAGCCAUACUGCACGUGAAUGCCACAUAUUCUGCCUACAUUCCUGGCUUCAUCGUUCCCCAAAUUCAUCUUUCAGAGAGCCCUAAAAAGAACACAAUGAACUUUCCGGCACACCUCCUGGCCAGCGAAUCUGAACCUCACCUUAUGAAAAAGGUCCUAAAUGGGAAGAGGCUCCUUGAAGUACUGUCACACUCCCCCCCGUGGGCUGUGAUGGCUGGGUACGGUGGCACCUAUCUAAGAACAUGUGAGGGGUGCCCGGGUGGCUCAGUCGGUCAAGCAUUGCCUUCGGCUCAGGUCAUGAUGUUGGGGUCCUGGGAUCGAGUCCUGCAUCGGGCUCCCUGCUCAGCGGGAAGCUUGCUUCUCCCUCGCCAUCUGCCCCUCCCCCUCCACUUGUGCUCUCUUCCGUGCUCUCUCU